CUCAUUAGGAGGAUUGUGUUGGCAGAGUCUCUUUGAGCGUGUGAAGCUGCUUCUUUAAGAGAGAGUUUCCUGCUCAUCUGCUGGCUGUGUGCAUCCUACAGCUGGCUGGCAUCGACUCCAGGAGGCAGGCAUUAAUUGGGCUGUUCCUUUCCAUUCUGGCAAUGGGUGGUCUUCUUGGCAAGAACAAGAGGCUCUGUGUGUUCCCUAAGAAAGUUACUUUUCGUAAGACCAAGGGGAAAAAGGCAUCUGGGACUGCAGGUAUGUCCUGUGAUGCUUCAACGUGGACUGGGGAGAACCAUUUUUAUUCAGCACGCAUAGGAAGGACCCCCAGAACCCCUGAACCUUCUCUUGCACAGUCAGAUUCCUUAAACACCCCUGAAGGUGAAUCUGCUGCUCAAGCUAAAAAGGAUGUAGGAGCUGCAUCUCUGCACAUACAACAUACUGAGGUCUCACUUCGUGCCUCUUCUAGAGAUGCACGCAAUAGUGAGGAGCCACAGGACCCUGAAACCAAACCCAGCACAGAGGGGAUGAAGAACCAGAAGCUUGCUGAACAGCCAAAACAAGAAGCCCAAUCUGCCAGAGGCAAUCUACAAGGGAUGAGGAAAGCUCAAGCUGAUGAGCAUCCUACUGGUGCCUGUAUACCCCAUGAGCAACCCAGCUGCAGGGAUGAUGAAGUGAGGCCUCUCACUGAGACAACUGUGAAGGCUGAAGUCCACGUGUGUGCAGAAGCCCAAGGUGAGGUUCAGCCUGCUAGAGUGGAGUCCAGGCUGUCAAUCCCUGCAGAAGAAGAGGCAACAGUUCUGUGUGAUUCAGAGGAAACUCAUGAGGGAAAGGAUCAUCAUGAAGUGCCUGUGGAGAAGGCAGCUGAGUCCCCACCUGCUCUGUGUACCAUGCAGGAGUCAGAGCUGCUUCUGAAGGCCAUGGAGACAAGAGAAGACAUCACAAGUAUGCAGAGAGGUGCAGAAAAGCAAGCAGGAGAAGAAAAAGCACACUUUUCUGCUAAAGCCUCACCUGAUCCCCACUUGGAACAUGAUAAAGAGGUUCCUACUCAGGAGUAUGUGGAAGAAAAUGUUUUUGAAUUGGAGCAAGCUGAAGAACAGACUGAGGUUGGUGAUGAUGGACAAACAUCAAAUGAGAUCCCAUGCUGCCAGGCAGAAACCCAGGCUGCUCUGCAGGAUAAGGAGGAGAUCAAAGCCAGCAAUGGGGGAAAACAGCCUGCUGAUGAGGAGUGUUGAAAGAGCACACGGAGCCUGGUGCAGCCACCACUGAGCAGGCUGAGGGUUUGUCUGCAGCAGAGCAAAGAAUCUGCUGCCUUGAUCCUGCAAGGAACCAGAAUGGACAAGUAACCAGUGGCUGCUUGCAUCCUAGUGGGCACAGCGGGCAAGUUGUUUACGAAGCCUGCUUUAGAAAGUGGGACUCAAACAGCAAGCUGGUGCAUAGCCUUCCACAGGUGGCACUGACCCCCUUCUUUCCCUAACAGGGGGGUGGUGAAGGGACACAAGUAUAUUUCAGUACAAGAAGUGUAUUUAUGUAUAUUACUCUUUUCCACAUGCACAUACACCUGAGCAAGGGUUAUAGAGCUUGUAAUUCUCUCCCUCUGUGUAACUACACAGGGUUAAGUCUUUAACAAACAAGCCAGAUUUAUUAAUUACAUGUGUCUGUGCACCUCACUCUGACUGUCACUGUUUGAAGCUAUGUUGUGUGGUCUGCAAUGCAACUGGAACCAAUAAAUGGGCAUGUUUUAAUGCUUGCUGAUACAGAUUGUCUUAUUAAUGCCCAGCUGCUCCAUGGUUUGUGCUAGUUGUGUGCAGGUGGAAGAGUUAGGAGAAGAGCCCUGUGAAAGUGGUUGUUUCCAAAGCAUAACGAGGUAUUUCUAAUGGUCAUUUUGCUGCCAUAAAUGUGUCAGGUUACUGCAUACAUGAUGCUGGUCUCUAAUGUAGUUUUUAAAUGCAGGGAGUCUUCUUGUAAAACCUGAUUAGUUGGGCAGCUGUUGCUUAACUUCAAAAGCAGUGCAGUGCUGAAAAGGACUGGAAAAAGCACACAGCCUAGAUCUUUCCCUUUAAUUUCAACCAAAAAAAUAACAGGACUGCACCAAAUGAUUCUGCUAGAGCUUAUGGGGAAUUAUAAGUGUACUUAGAUAGAAAGCUGGAGAGACAGAAUGUAUAGGAGAGUGAGAUUAAUCUUCCCUAAGGAAACCAUUUCCAGCUAUUGUGUUCUUGUGUGCUUCCUAUAUUAACUGUAUUCAUAGAGGGAGGAAAAGAAAAUAGUUAAAGGCAAGUCAGGAUAUGAGGAUUUUGAAAGGCAUGCAUCUAUUUAAAGGAUGAUUGGUUUUACUGUCUUUAUGUGCUUAAUCACAUCAAGAAUAUAGUGUAUCUUUAUGUAUUUCUUUUAAAUCAAAGGAUCAGGCUGGUAUGUAGUGAGUCUAUCAGUUUAAGCCAGCCUUCCUUAAAACAUUUGCCCUUAUGACCAAAGCAGAAUUGGAAACACUGGUCAUGGAAAUGUCAGUGGCUCUCACUUAACACAGAGCACGUUCCCUCCCCUUGGCUGUUAUGUAAAAUCCUGAAGGUACCUACAUCAGUUCAUUAUGUUGACAAGCUGCCCUGGGUUGGCUGUAUCUAAUGAACUGCUGCUUAGGUUAGUCUGGAAGAAUGGAUAUGCCCUCUGUACUUAGAAUUAAACAACUCAUGUGUGGGUCUGGAGGCUUCUCUUUGCUGAUGCUGAAAAAGAAACAAAGCCCGCAAAGAGCCACAGAAGCAUCUCUGCAUUGUUCUGCCAGCGUCUUACGUACUUACAUCAGUAACUGUAAUUAAUUGCCAAGUAUUUUCAGAGGUUGGUAUUAAUCAUCUCUCUGUUCUGUGGCUGCUGAGAGGACUCGUGGCAAUGCGUUUGACAAUGCAGUGCAAAGAAAUGUUGAAAGCAAUGAAAUAUUCAGGAUGAAUAUCACAAUGCUAAGAGAUAAAGGAAUGUUUUUUUUCCUUAUGAACAGUGCUGAACAGCAGGAAGGAAGGAGUUAAAAGGGACAGAUUAAGAUGUGAAGUAGAUGGCAUCCUUGCAUGUACUCCUGCCAAAGGACCGUGGCAGUGAUGGUGAUGUAGGAUUCCUAGGGUGACUUUCUAUCACUGGCUUUGGGUAAGCAGCUCAGAACUUGAAGCAAAGAUCUCUUGUACUGGGAAGAAUAUGUUUGCAUUCUCACAUUAAAGAAUCAUUCAUUUUCAAACUAUGCUUGUCGCUGUAUUUUAUGCUUGUGAUUAAAUUAAUGCUUGCAUCUCACUACUCAACAAGGAGCCACGUAACAGUGAUUCAUCAAUUCACUCCCAUUAUGACUGUUGUUAUUAUGUAGCUGAGACUGAAGGUAUCAGUCUAAUCACAGCAUAAGGUAUGGUUACAUGAUAUUGCUGACAUUCGAAAACAAACAGGUGGUUGGGGUCAAUUUCAAUGCCAACAUACAGAACACUGCAGGCUACAGUUCCACUAUUCCUAAAUCCAAGCCUACAUCACACUGGCUUACAACAUAUCUAUUCCAGU
ensembl:lncRNA